rnacentral:rRNA from 1 species
CCUACGGGUGGCAGCAGUGGGGAAUAUUGGACAAUGGGGGCAACCCUGAUCCAGCCAUGCCGCGUGUGUGAAGAAGGCCCUCGGGUUGUAAAGCACUUUCAGUGAGGAAGAACGCCUGGUGGUUAAUACCCAUCAGGAAAGACAUCACUCACAGAAGAAGCACCGGCUAACUCCGUGCCAGCAGCCGCGGUAAUACGGAGGGUGCGAGCGUUAAUCGGAAUUACUGGGCGUAAAGCGCGCGUAGGUGGCUUGAUAAGCCGGUUGUGAAAGCCCCGGGCUCAACCUGGGAACGGCAUCCGGAACUGUCAAGCUAGAGUGCAGGAGAGGAAGGUAGAAUUCCCGGUGUAGCGGUGAAAAGCGUAGAGAUCGGGAGGAAUACCAGUGGCGAAGGCGGCCUUCUGGACUGACACUGACACUGAGGUGCGAAAGCGUGGGUAGCAAACAGGAUUAGAUACCCUGGUAGUC